GGGAUGGUGUGGGCCGUGAAGAUCCCCUUCCUGCUGCAGUACCUGGAAGGGAAAAGCGAGAGCUGCCUGGACUCUGCCGAGUGGGAGCGCCUUCUGCUUAAGUUCCUGAGAUCGUCGCUGGAGACGAUCGAGAGCCAGGCCUGGACCAUGGGCCUGAGCUUCGAGCUGAGCCAGCAGAAGGGCAGCUACCCCCGGCUGUCCCGGGAGCAGGUGGGUCCCUGCCGAGGCCUCGUUUCUGCUCCCGUUCCCCACGGGCGCUGGCACGAGAGCCCGGGACGCUCCCCGGGCUGCGCCUGCAGAUAUUGCCCUCUGCGGGCGGGCCGGGCUCCCUGGCUCCCGUCCCUUCGCCACGCAGGCUUUUGUCUCGGCGCCAGCGGGCAGCGGGGCUGGGCUGGACGGCCGGGCGCCCGCGCCGGCUCCC
ensembl:lncRNA